AUGGCGAUCGCCGUGAGCGGGCACUGGACGCGGCUGCGGACGCUCGGCUGCGGCGCGUCGGGGGCCGUGGUGUCGCUGGCGGCCGACGCCGCGUCGGGGGAGCUGUUCGCGGUCAAGUCCGUGCGCGCGGCGGACGCGGCGCAGCUGAGCCGGGAGCAGGGGAUCCUCUCCGCGCUCUGCUCGCCGCACGUCGUCGGCUGCAUCGGCGGCGGUGGCGACCGCGACGGCUCCUACCACCUCUUCCUCGAGUUCGCCCCCGGCGGCUCGCUCGCCGACGAGGCCGCCAGGAAUGGGGGCCGCCUGGAGGAGCGCGCCAUCCGGGCGUACGCGGCGGACGUCCUGCGCGGCCUGGCAUACAUCCACGGCAAGUCGCUCGUGCACGGCGACGUCAAGUCGAGGAACGUGGUGAUCGGCGCCGACGGGCGCGCCAAGAUCGCCGACUUCGGGUGCGCGAGGGCCCUCGGCGCGGCGGGGCCGAUCGGAGGCACGCCGGCGUUCAUGGCCCCGGAGGUGGCCCGAGGGGAGGAGCAGGGCCCGGCCGCCGACGUGUGGGCUCUCGGCUGCACGGUCGUCGAGAUGGCCACCGGGCGCGCGCCAUGGGGCAAGAUGGAUAACGUCCUUGCCGCUGUCCACCGGAUCGGGUACACGGACGCCGUGCCGGAGGUGCCCGCGUGGCUCUCAGCGGAGGCGAAGAGCUUCCUCGCCAUGUGCUUCGCGAGGAACGCCCGCGACCGGUGCACGGCGGCGCAGCUCCUGGAGCACCCGUUCGUGGCAUUGCAGGCAGGAGAGGCCAAGGCCAGGUGGGUGUCUCCCAAGAGCACGCUUGACGCCGCAUUCUGGGAAUCGGAGACCGAAGAGGAAGAGGAGGAGGAGGAGGUUUCAGAGAGCCCGUGCGAGAGGAUCAAGUCAUUGGCGUGCUCCGUCUUGCCGGACUGGGAUUCCGACGAAGGCUGGAUGGACGUGCUCGGCGAGCAGUGUGAAGCUUGCGAUUCACCAGCAACCAAGGGGCCGGCUGAUGUGUCCAGCAGGGCGCCAAGCAAAGUGCUCGGGUCCCCGGCGGUGCCAGCUGAAGACGUAGCUGUCGUCGGCACCCUUUCGAGUGAUGAACAUGAAUUGGACGCAGAGGAUGAACCUUUCGGCGACGAUAUCAUCCUAGCCGCUGAUCCUUUAGUGGACCGCCAGAUCGAAGUGCGUCCGAGCUCGGAUAGAGAUGUACUACUUUCAUCAUCACAUGUACCCUGUAAUAAUCGAAUCGUUGCAAUAGAAAAGUUUCGUUUUCCACAAAUCUUGCUGUGCCGUUCUGAUAGACUACGUACUGAAUUUCUACCCGUGCGUGGAGAACACAGUGCGUCUCCCUCUUUACACUCCAACUCAUAA
rnacentral:rRNA from 1 species